CCUACGGGAGGCAGCAGUGGGGAAUAUUGCACAAUGGGGGAAACCCUGAUGCAGCGACGCCGCGUGAGUGAAGAAGUAUUUCGGUAUGUAAAGCUCUAUCAGCAGGGAAGAAGAAAGACGGUACCUGACUAAGAAGCCCCGGCUAACUACGUGCCAGCAGCCGCGGUAAUACGUAGGGGGCAAGCGUUAUCCGGAUUUACUGGGUGUAAAGGGAGCGUAGACGGCUGGGCAAGUCUGAAGUGAAAGCCCCGGGCUCAACCCUGGGACUGCUUUUGAAACUGUGGAGCUAGAGUGCUGGAGAGGUAAGUGGAAUUCCUAGUGUAGCGGUGAAAUGCGUAGAUAUUAGGAGGAACACCAGUGGCGAAGGCGGCUUACUGGACAGUAACUGACGUUGAGGCUCGAAAGCGUGGGGAGCAAACAGGAUUAGAUACCCCAGUAGUC
rnacentral:rRNA from 1 species